AUUGAACGCUGGCGGCAUGCUUUACACAUGCAAGUCGAACGGUAACAGGUUAAGCUGACGAGUGGCGAACGGGUGAGUAAUGCAUCGGAACGUGCCCGGUCGUGGGGGAUAACGCAGCGAAAGCUGCGCUAAUACCGCAUACGAUCUGAGGAUGAAAGCGGGGGACCGUAAGGCCUCGUGCGAUCGGAGCGGCCGAUGUCAGAUUAGGUAGUUGGUGGGGUAAAGGCUCACCAAGCCAACGAUCUGUAGCUGGUCUGAGAGGACGACCAGCCACACUGGGACUGAGACACGGCCCAGACUCCUACGGGAGGCAGCAGUGGGGAAUUUUGGACAAUGGGCGAAAGCCUGAUCCAGCAAUGCCGCGUGCAGGAAGAAGGCCUUCGGGUUGUAAACUGCUUUUGUACGGAGCGAAAAGGUCUCCUCUAAUACAGGGGGCUCAUGACGGUACCGUAGGAAUAAGCACCGGCUAACUACGUGCCAGCAGCCGCCGCCG
rnacentral:rRNA from 1 species